UACGGAGGGGGCUAGCGUUGUUCGGAUUUACUGGGCGUAAAGCGCACGUAGGCGGGUCGUUAAGUCGAGGGUGAAAUCCUGGAGCUCAACUCCAGAACUGCCUUCGAUACUGGCGACCUAGAGUCCGGAAGAGGUGAGUGGAACUCCUAGUGUAGAGGUGGAAUUCGUAGAUAUUAGGAAGAACACCAGUGGCGAAGGCGGCUCACUGGUCCGGUACUGACGCUGAGGUGCGAAAGCGUGGGGAGCAAACAGG
rnacentral:rRNA from 1 species